GGUACGCCUUUGUUGCCAUCUUAAGCCGGUGGUCCACCCUGAUCGUAACAUGAUACCCCUAAGAACUCGUUAAAUUCUUCUGUACAUAAUAUUGUGCAAUAAUCAUAUAUACAUUAAGAUGAAUUUGGAUACUUUUAAGAUAUUCAUUACAUAAGCUUUUAAUUUAGCUGGUUAUGUUCUAGAUUUUCACCGAGUAUUAAUGUUUUCCACUCAUUAACAGGAAAAUGUUUAAAGUUCGGAUCGAUUAGAUUAAUAUACUUUUGUUAUUAUCACUUCGAGAAAUAGAAUUAAGUACGUAUAAAUUGAGAAGGUAAUUAUUAUAAUGGAAAUUUAUGUAUUUGUCAAGAAUUUAAUUGUGAUUGGAAUUUAUUUUGCUUACGAAAAUUUUGAUUUAAAUUUGCGUUUACUGGAUCAGAUUCAGAAGCUGCGAAUCCAAGAUCACUUGGAGAUGAAGCGGGUGAGGAUGCAGUGAGGGUUACAAGAAGCAUUAUGAUAGUAAAGCCUCAAGGUGUUCAGAAAGGCUCGCCGCCGGUUUCGCCGGCUGCCUCCACAUCUCCGGUGUCUCCUUUCGCCGGUUCCGGUUAGCUUCAUGAGUUAUCAUAUUUUUUUAUAUUUUAUUCUAAUUAUGAUGUCAAACAUUCCAGUAUCUUCUUGCAAAUUUAUUGUUUAAACUGCCCUGGGUAAUAAUGUGGUCUAGAAGAAUCUCAGGGAAUCUGAAUAGGGUAAUUUGGACACACUGUUUUUCGAGAACGGAAUAACGAUAAGGGUAUUUUAGUCCUUUUAGGAAGCUUGUCACAGUAAUAAGCGGCAAUAAUAGAGAUGAGAUAAGUUUAGGCAUGAUGGGCCAAUUAUUUUAUUUUUGAAUUUUGUCUUAAGAGUGACAUUUGUGGAAUCUACUAGGAUACAGUUGUUAAAAUUUAAAAUAGCAUUAUGUCUUUGUCCACUUCCUGAAUUCGUGCGUGGCAUUGCUUAAAGAGACCCACGAAUUGUUAAAACUUGUAAUAGAAUUAUGCCUUUGGCGAUAGUUAUUAUUAAGAGUAAUGUCUCUGUCUCCCUUGGUUAUAAGUUUAGUGCGUUAACGUGACAUUAAAUUAUAUGUGUGUAAUCAACUUUGUCCUUUAAUUUUAUUUUUUAUUGAGCCUAUCACUUACCACCACAUAAAUUGUGGGUUAUAAUCUAGUGGAGCUAAAUAAUGCGACUCUAGUUUUUAUGGUUUGAAUCUUCGAUACACAAUUGUAAUGAUUUCGUAGUUAAUACUGACGAAACAUGCCUUUUGCAUUAAACAUGGAAUAUUCUGUUCUUCAUUGUUUAUGACAUUAAGCUCCUGUUGGUGUAUUUAAGUUGAUUAAAAUUUUAUGAAAUUCACAUGUUUACUACCACAUAUUUGAUUAACUUGUAUCUAAAUUUACUAAAAGUUUGAUUUUAAUCUACACCAAACUGGGGCUAAUUUUUUAUUAUGAAUGAGGCUAGGUGCAGGGGGAAGAGAGGCAUUUCGGUUUCGUAGGAGGUCUGCAUCCUUCGCUUACGAGAAGGCUAGCGAAGUUGGACCCAGGAGCCCUCCCCCUUACGACCUGUGAUUAACGAUAUCGAGGCUUCGAUCCUUUUCUCCCUUGAGGCUGCUCUAAAUGUUAUAUUGUUUCUGUUUAAGGAUCUUUUGGGAAGCAAAAGAGUAUUAUGUGUAGUUAGAUGUAUAUACGCGACGUCCAUCCACCGCAUAGUGUUAUUUUGAGUGAGGCUGUUUGAGUUCAAAGACUCGAGAGUUGUAAGGAGUUCACUUCUUGUAAAAGGGUUUCUCCAUUGCUUUACAAGUUUAGUUUCUGUUCUCUUUAUAUCUUAUCAUGAGUAAGAAUUCGAUUUCACUUGGGCCUAUCGGCGUAGAAUAAUGCUUGUAGUACAUAGAGGUGUCCAAAAUGGACACCUGGCGCCUCGGCCAAUGCCGAGGUGUCGGUGGGCCUUGGCGUAGCAGCCGCCUCGGCCAAUGUCGAGACGCUGGGUGUCCACCCCGUUGGAUACCGCAAUGUACCCAUAGCAUGAUUGAUCGGCGUAAUAUGUCAUUUUGAAACUCUACUGAACUUUGAAGACUCUACUCAGAUUGCUAAAGUACAAAUAGUCUAGUUUGAUAAGAAUUAAAAGAUUUUUAGUAAAUUUUGAUAAAAAUUGAUGAAAUGUAAAAAAUUAUGUAUUUUAUGAAAUACGAGAUUGAAAUUAAUUGUUCACUUUAAUUUAUGUUAGAAUCUGAAUUUUAAUUUUUAUUAUCAAACAAGGGAUAUCAUGGUUUGAUUCAUGGUUGGUUUCCCAACUUUUGUCUUGGACAAAAAUAGACUGAUGGUCGUGUAACACUUAGCCCUGUUUGGCCUCAAUUUUGUGGAAAUAAAAAUGGGUGGAAUAGUAUUUUUUUGAAAAAUGAGUAGUUGAAAAUGAAAGAAAAGUUUCGAUUUACGUGUAAUAUUAUUUUAUGAAAAAUUAUGAAGUUGAAAAUAUGAGAGAAAAAUGAAAUGUAAUGGAAUGGAAAUUAAUGGGGCCAAACGAGGGCUCAAGCUGCUUAAGGAUUGUUUCUCACUCGGGAUCUAAUUGAAUAAGUUAUCCUUCCAUACUACGUUGAAAAAUUAAUGGCACUUUUAAGAAGACUAAGAGUGCAUUUUAUUAUCAAUAUUUUUCAUACAAAUGUUAUUUUUCUAUCCAAAUUUUUAUUUUUGGGCGGUUUGAUUUAUUUUUUUCAUAGAAAAUAUUUUCCUACUUUUUGAUAUGAUUCAGGAUGCGUCGCCGAUUAUCGAAGAAGUGAUGAUUAAUUGGAAGAAACCAAAGCCAUGUUCAAAACCUCGAGGAGCUAAUGAAAGUCACACAAUUGCUUGGUUGAGCUAUGGAGAACAAAAGAUUGAAGAGAACCUGCCAAAAUCCACGUAAAUCAAAAAUAUUUUCUUAAUUUUCGACCAAACUUUCUCCAUUGUCUACUAUUCCAAAAUGCAUUUUUUUCAUAAAAUUGAGUCCAAACACCCUCUAAAUAUGCCACGAAUGGGUGAUUUGAUCUCCUUCCCAAGUUUUACCUCUUGCAGGUUGGAUUUGGAGUGGGGACGCUCUAUUGCACGAAAACCAUUUAUGUCAAUGAAUUUAUUGAAAAUAAAGUGCAUAGAUUUUCUGUACAAGAUUAAGCUCCUAUUUGAGCUUCAUCUUCUUAAAAAAAAAAAAAAAUUUAUUUUCAACUACUCAUUAUCCUAAUAAAAUAUUUUGGGUAAUUAGCACAAAACAUCCCUACCUUUCGAUGUUUUUGUGGAAAACAUCCCUACCUUUUUUUUUAGCAUAAUUAGCACAAAAGGUCCAUACAUUUCAAUGUUAUUGUGCAAAACGUCCAUAUCUUUCAUUUUUAGCAUUUUCACCCCUACAUUUCACCUUUCAUUGUGCAAAAAGAUCAUUUUCAUCCAUUUUUUCAAUAAAAUGACGAUUUUACCCUCCUAUUGAAAUAAAACAAAAAGAAAAGAAAAAAAUAAUUAAUUAAUUGCAAUCAUAGUUCUAAAUCUUUCAAAACAUUACAGAUAAAUCCUAAAUUCUCCACUACCGCCACUUUCACAACCCCACCAAGCCAUCACCUAUAGAUCUAUAUAGCACCACUUUUCGACCAUAACACCUAUCGGACUCCACCACCACCAGUGUCGCCUCACUCUCCCCAAUAUCCUCCUCCAUAGUAUUGAUCACCAAUCUGUCCGAAACAACCAUAUUUACGGUGGUGGAGUCCGUUGGGCAUGGUGGCCGAAAGGUGGUAUUAUGUGGAUUUAUAGUUGGCAGCUUGAUAGGUUGUGAAAAUGGUGGUGGUUGAGAAUUUAUGAUUUAUCUGUAAUGUUUUGAAAGAUUUAGAACUAUGAUUGCAAUUAAUUAAUUAUUUUUUUUCUUUUCUUUUUGUUUUAUUUCAAUAGGAGGGUAAAAUCGUCAUUUUAUUGAAAAAAUAGAUGAAAAUGACUUUUUGCGCAAUGAAAGGUGAAAUGUAGGUGUAAAAAUGCUAAAAAUGAAAGGUAGGGACGUUUUGCACAGUAAUAUUGAAAGGUAGGGACCUUUUCUGCUAAUUAUGCUAAAAAAUAAAAGGUAGGGACGUUUUGCACAAUAACUUUGAAAGGUAGGGACCUUUUGUGCUAAUUACCUUUUUGAUUUAACGGAGCAUUUUAACGGAGAGUUGACAGAAGGACGUUUUGCACAAAAAAAGGUAAAGGUAAGGGUGUAAUCCGCCAAAAAAUGAAAGGUAAGGACGUUUUCCACAAAAACAUCUAAAGGUAGGGAUGUUUUGUGCUAAUUACCCAAAUAUUUUUAUACAUAACUUUUUUUCUUAUUUUUUAACUAUUCAUUUUUCAAAAAAAAAAAUCACUAUUACAAAAAUCCUUUUCUUUCCCCCCGUAAAAAUGGAAAUCAAACAUCUAAGAUUUUGACUAGUAUGUAAAAACAAUGUCCAACUAUAAGCCAUAUCUAACUUAACCUACAUUCAAAGUUGACGUUGACAUCAAGAUCAAGUGUCACCCUAUUUAUUAUUAUUAUUAAUUUUAAUUGCAUGCUAAGUUAAAAAGAAAGUGUAAAGUUUGCUUCUUCUUUUUUUCUCUGUAAAUGUAAUUUUUAGCUUAUUUUUCAACUUUAACCAAUAAAAUAAUUUAUUUAUUCAAUAAGUGAAUUUGCUCAUAAGCAAACCUUUUAAGCUGAAUUGAUCAAAAUGCUCUUAAAAAUUAAAAAUCUUACAUACUAUACUAUCCACUAUUACAUAUCAAAUAUGUUUUAAUGUUUUUAAUAAGUCGAUAAGAUAUUUUAGUCCAUUAUAAAUAAAUGACAUCGUCUUGACCACGAUAGAGCUUUUUUGCCCUUCACAUAAUAGAGGGACUAAAGUGCAAUGUCAAUAAUUAUAAAUAUAACAUAGUAUAUUACAAGAUAUAAGUGGGAUUCAAGACAAAAAUUAGUUGGGAUGCAUAAUUCAAACCUUUUAUGGACAUUGGGGCCCAGAGAGCCCAUCGAUUUUAUACAUCAAACUUGAUGAUAAGUAAUUAUUGAAAGCCACGUUAAGCCCAUGUUUGAUGGUCGUAAUUGAAGGAUAAAAUAAUGUUUUAAAUAGUGUUGUUUUAGAGAAUGCGUGAUUAAGAAGUAGGGAACAUGUACAAAAUAUUUUAUUAAGUGAAUGUAUAAUUAAAAAUGAGUAUGAGAAUUAAAGAACUUUGUUUUAAAAAGAGACAAGCAUGAACUAAUUGUGGGAGAUUGGGUCAUGCUUUGGACAUGCCAAGGAGGCUUGUUGAUCAAGACUUUGGGUUCAUUAGUCCCCAAAUAGAUUUAUCGAAGUCUUAAUGUGUAAGCAAGAGGAUCAACUUGUCUAACUUUAUCAUUGCUUAAACUCAUAUUUUAAAUUUCAUUCUCUCUUCAAAUUUAUUUAAAUAUCAUAUUUUUUGAGAUUUAUAAUUUUAUCAAUUUUUUAAUCAUACAUUUCAUCAAUUUUUAUUAAAAUUUAAUUUUUAACAAAACCAACAGAAACCUUAUGAAGUUUCUAUUUUUGUUUUGUUUUGUCCAAAUUUAAAUAGAUGAUACUAUAGAUUGACUUAUUUUAAAAGAUUGACUUAUUUCAAAAGGCGGGUCGUACUCGACUCAGCUUCCUAGAAUUGUGAUUUAUAUAAAUUAAGUGGAAAUUACACCUUUCCAGGUGUUUAAAGAUUGGGAUGUAAACAUCAUGUGGGGAAGUUUUUUAUGCACAUGUCAAGCUUUUAUAUAAAUAUUAAAUGUGAAAUAUUUAUUUUUUAUCAUUUAAUAAUUAGUCGAUGUGUAUAUUAACUGAUGGUGAGUUUUCUUAUUAUCGUAAUUCAAAUUACAAUUUUCUUAACUACCAUAUCAAUCAUCUCCUCUCUUUCUCUCUCUCUCUCUCUCUGUGCCCCCCACGAUUUCACGUAAUCUCCAAACCCUCUCUUUGUUCUCCCACGAUUUCCCGUCCCCUCCAAACACUCGCUCGUUCGAACUCAUCCACCCAAAGUCUAGAUAUCACCAUUUAGUUACCCUACAAUCUUAUCAUUGUUGAAUUCAAUUUGUGCAAGAAUCAUCGUGUUGAGUACAUCCCUUUCGUUACCCUAAAAAACGAAAUCUAAUGGAGAAAUCGAAGGGUGUAGGAGGGGUUAUUAAUCUUAAAGACACAAGAAGAAGAAGAAGCAAAAUGAGGUCAUAGGACAGCAUAAUGGAAACCCCAACGCAUUCGUGUCUGUGAUUGAGCGAAAAGGCCAAUCGAACAAGGUUAUUUCCUCAAUUUUUAUUUUAUUUUUAUUUUUUUUAAUCCAACAAUGAAAAAACAUACUGGAUAUUUGGGCAUUCUAUGAAAUGUAGGCGGUUGAAGUAAAUUCGGUAUUGGGCAUGACCUAGGGUUUUGGGUGUGAAGAGUAUGUGUAUGGAAACUCCUUUGUGCUUAUAAUUAGAUGUCUAAUAUGUUGCGUGAUCUUAGAGGAUGAUAUGUGACCCAAGCUCAGUGCAAGUGACCAUGGUAGAUGAUCUGUGACCUGAGCUCAGUGUAUGUGACUUGGAGGUGCUAAUAAUGAAUUGAUCUAAUCUGUGAUCUAUUCAUUUCAUUGAAAACUAAUACACAUAUCUGUGAACUGCUAUGAUGUGAUACAAAUCAAAAUGUUGGUUUUAUUACAAGACUUCCAAUUAUUGGUUUGUUAGUGACAAUGCGGCAUGUGUAUGAGAUUGUAUUUGUGCUUUUAAUUUUGAUGUCUUAUAAGUUGGAUGGUGUCACAGGUAUUAACAAUAUGACCAGACUCGAAUGUAUGUGAAUUGGAAGUACUAACAGUGAAUAGAUAUGUGAUCUGAGCUGACUGAAAAUGUGACUUGAGUGUUCUAAUAAUGAAGAUUUGUGACCCUAUUCAACUUAAUGACCCGAGUGUACAUGUGUAUGCAUAUGUGACCUGUUAGGCAGAGCAUGUUAUUAAUUGAAUCUUUUUGUGUUGUAACAUAUUAUCUGUGUGAGAUUUCUUUUCGGUACAAGUGUUUAACACUGUCUACAAUUUCAAUACAGGUCUGGCAAUUCAUAAUACCAGAAGACAGGUGGUUUCCUGGGAAAAUUACAACCUUAGUCUGCAAAGGUGUCUUGAAUACUAUUCAGAAGAGCUUAAGCCGACCACAGAAACGUAUAUUGAUGGGAACCUGUUUUGCUCAUUUUCUAGAGUGCGACGAGAUCAUGAUACAACCCCAAAUGAUUCACUUCUUCCUUCUGAGACAUGUUCAUUAGCCUAAUAACGAAGAAAUGUGGUUUUAAGUGGCUGGAAAGUAUGUGAAGUUAUCCAUCUCCCAGUUCUGUUUAGUCACAGGUCUGAGAUGUCAUGGAAAAUGUGAUACAUAAGUGUAUGACAGUAAGACAUCAAAACUGAAGGGAAAAUACUUUUCUCAAGUGGACACCGUAACACAUGAAGACAUCAAGUCCACAUUCUUCUUUGCGUGUCAAAUGCCGGACUUGGAUCUUAUCGAAGCUCUACCGGAUGAUGGCGUUGCUAGGAUAGGUGCAUUGUAUUUCCUCACUGCCUAUCUCUUUCCUAGAGAUUACAAGAAAGUUGUUGACAACUACUUAUUUCCCUAGUUGAGGACUUCGAUGCAAUGAACAGAUUCCCAUGGGGUAAAUUAUUAUUUGACAUUACCUUAGGUUUAUUGAAAGAUGGGUUGAGUAGGAGAACUGCACAUUACAGGCUACGAGGUAUGUUGGUAUUAUUUGACAUUACCUUCCAAGUAUGGAUUUAUAAGACUUUUCCAAGUCUAGAUAGAAUUAAUGUCACACGAACAUUGAAGACGCAUCCUCGAAUAAUGAAUUAGAUGGCAGAUGAACAAUCUCCUGCUACUAAGUUGGAAGGAGCCGACUGCUUCGCAAAUGUUGAUGUAAUACAUUAGUAAGCCUUGUUACUAGUAUACUGAACUGUUAUGAUUACACUUUUUUUAAUAUACACUUUUGUAGAUUGUGAUUUGUGACCUGGAACCAUCGGAAACAAAAAUGGCCAUGCCAUAUGUGAACAAUGUCCAGUAUAAGAAGUCGAUUAAACCGAACUUGUGAAGUAAGAGCCGCAAGAAAAAGAUGACAAAGAGGUCAGCCGACAAUGUUAGUACUAGCGGAAAGUCAGUGAUCAUCUUAACGGACAACAGUAUGGGGCAGCCUAAUGUAUUGAACGACGAUGAUGAUUUUUGUUGAUUCUCUACCACGACGUCAAGAUUCACCCCCUCGUAAAAAAUCUCUAAUUGAUGAAACACUGUCAGUUGCCCAUAACUCUCUAGAUGAACCACACUCUCACAGGCCGCAAUAGGUUGAUGUAAGUUGAUGUAAUUAUUUUUUUGAAAUCAGUGGACACAGAUCAAUGUCUUAGGUCACAUAUUACCUUUUGAAAUCAAUGGUCACAGAUCACUGCGAUGAAGGUCACAUAUCCACCAUAUUUUCAUCACAGAAAAUAUUUUCCUAAGUCACAUAUAACCAUUUUCUUUUCCAAAGAAUUGGUUACACUUGUGUUGUUAUAGUGUUAUGUCAGGCAUGUGAUGAUUUGAGAAUGCAAAUAUGCAAACUGCAGUCGGACAAUAAAUUGUUGAAUAGGGAGCUUGCUGACAUUAGGUCACAAAUGUCAUGCUUCAAUGAUGUGCACUCAACAAAAAUGAACUCCAUUGUCCAAAUGCAAGGUGUCCUAAAAAUUGACUUGAUGGAGAUUCGAACUAACAUGCAGUUUUUGUCCGAAACUGUGUCAGCAAUGAUAUCUAAUUCAAUGGAAGAGAUCAUGAGACGGUUUAGUGAAAAAGCAAAAGAUCGAAGCACAGAAGUUCUCGGAGUUGAAGACAAGGGAACUCAAGUUGCUAGAGGCUCUGAUAAGACUGAUGAGGUAUUUACAUGAUAUUUACACAUUUCAUUUUACACACCAUGGUCACAUUGACAUGCCAAGUAUUCUUUUUCUUCUCCAAGAUAUAGGUGCAAACAGUGCAGCCAAAUGUUGACAGGAGAUGGAAAGGUUAGAUAGACCCAAGUGAAGACAUUGGUACCCCCUGUAGUCUUCAACCACCAUCGUUCGAUAUGGGGAUCGGAUAUACGCAACCUAACGACAUACACUCUGAAGACAUUCAGAAACAGGUAGAUUCCGUUAUAUCAGACGUGGUGACGACAGCCAAAAGUGUUCAGGUAGAGGUAUUCAUAAAGCCAUUAUUCAUUCUGUACUCGUCAUAGAUCAACGACAUGCCAAUAAUAGUAAACUUUAACAUGUCACAAAUCAUUCAAAACUUAGUCACAUAUAGUUUCUAUAUACGAUGUGAAAUUUAACAAGUUUUUAUAACAAUAUACAGGGAUCCACGUCUCCUGAAAGCGGUUCUGAAUUACUAGUCAAGCAGGUUUUCAGGCCCGCAAGGAUAUUGUAGUCUCCGUUCGUCGUUGGAGAAGGUAAAUUGUUCAAACAUGAUGAUCAUGUCACAAUUUUCGAGCAUUUCAAAGGCGACAUUGAAGAAUUUGACAUAUCUACGUUCAUGAGUUGGUUCCAGAGGGGUUUUUAACCCAAAAAUAAGUACGUACAAUUUGUAUAUAUCUAAGAACAUAACUUAACAAGUCAUGAUAGCGCAACACUCAGUAUUCAAUUUCAUGUUUCACAUUUUCAUAUACUGUUUCCUUUUCUUACAUGUCAUUGUUUCCCUUUUUUACAGUACAUGGAUGCGUGCUUCUACUACAUUUGCCAACUUGCAAAACAUGGCAAGAAUGUAAAGUUUAGAGCCAUGACAACAAAUUCUUGGUUUCAGCAUAAAAUAAAAGACAUAUACCCUGGUUUUAUGAAUGAUCCCUAGGUUUUGAUGUCAAAGUUGAGCCUUGUUAAUGUCAUAACUGGUCACAGCCUUCCUUUAAGCAUACAUUGGGCUGAUGUUGACCAUGUGUUCAUGCCAAUACUGCCCACAAACAAGGCCCACUGGAUGCUAGGUGUGCUACAAUUCAGAAGCCACACCUUGACAGUGUUCAAUUCGAUAGGUAAAACAUAUCGUGACUAGAAGGUUCUAGAAGGCAUUGAGUCAUAUAUGAAAAUCUUGCCAGCACUUAUGAAUACUUUGGGAAUUUCAAAAAAUGACCCUGAUUACCACGGACCUGACUCCAAGGAAUUGAAGGUGCACAUCGACAGUACGCUACCUCAGCAGACAAAUGGGUAAUUCUUGUGACAUAUUAUGUGUACUUAACCUGAUAAUUUUUCAAUUAUGACAUUAUUUUUUCACUGUUAUUUUGCAGUCAUGAUUGUGAGAUAUUUGUGAUUUUGUACGCUUUAUACGUCAUCCGUGAUGGAUGAUGUUCCAUACCGCAUAGAUUCGAUAUUAACAAGUAUAGACUAAGUAUUGUUGCACUACUCUACAAAUAUCGGGAAAUGUACGUGAAGCAUGCUAAGCUGGGAUUAAUGGGGGGAUGGUUAUAGAAUGACAUCAUAUGUGUUAGGAAGAUGAAGUUUUAAUUGGUAGCUUUUGUGAUCUGUACACACAUGGCUUUUUUGUAUUUUUGUCGUUAUUUCUCAAGUGGAUUUGUCUUGUUGCUAUGUACAUGGAUUUUUUCGUGCGGAAUAUAUGACAAUUUCACUUUUCAUGUUAUAAAAUGUAAUAAUUGUUUUCCACAGGAAUUACUUUGGUCAACUGUUAUUUUUUGUUCACAGGUUAUUUUGGGUUUAUAUGCACAUGGAUGGUCAUAUUUGAAGAUUGGUCGCAUAUCAUGAGUUGCUUUGUACUGUAUCACAGAUUAUGUAAUCACAGGUAGUUAAAGUACAUGAUUUUUUAUUGUUAGAAAAUGUCACAGAUAACAGAAUUCAGUACAACAUAACUUUUUUAAGCCAAAUUUAAUCCUUUUUGCAUUAUUGGUCAGAGAUAACUCUAUUUUGUGUCACAUGUCAUCACAUUAUGUUCCAAAACUGUUUAGUGAUCACUUGUAUUUAUUAUUGGUCACAUUUCACUAGGAUUUAGGUCAUGUGAUCAUAUUUUGGUCACAGAGUUGUUAGGAAGUCACAUGUCAAUUUUUUUUUCCAAACCAUUGGUCACAUAUCUUUGAAAUUUGAUCACAUGCAUAUGCACGAUUCAUCAGGUCACAGUUAUGAAUUAUCAACGACCACAUAGUGCAAUGAUAGAGGUUAUGUGUUUUACAUCAGGUCACAUGUCCAGCUGUGUGAGGAAUAGGGAUUCACAGUCAACUAGAUUACAUAACUUUUGACCAUGUCUGAAUGAUUGUAUUAACAAACAAAUACUUAGACUCAAAUAAGAUUUUGCACACUUGGAAAAAUAAUGGUCAUAUAUAACGUCACUCUUGUAUUACAAAUGAAUGUUUCAAAAACACAAUGGUCACAUAUAUUAUGUGGUAUUGCAAUGUAUUGUAUUGACUAAUAUUAGCUCAAUGGGACAAGACUUGAGCAUCUCCUAUGGUUGUGACCAUAUCCUUCACAGUGCCCACAUUUCACCGAUAGUUUCCCAUUUCUGGAUGACAUCUUCCUCUUCUCAGUUGGCCUUUCACAACUCCGUUUCUGGUUAGGAGCUAACACAAUGUCAUGUAGCACUUCUUUAGGCAAUGUCUAUUCGCUUGGAUUUCCAACAGGAUAUAUAGUCUUCGUAUGCGUUCGUAUACAUCACGUGUGUAAUAAUAAAAAAAGAAAGUAUAUGGAUCCCUUUUUGUAUUUGCAAUUACAGCCAAUGCGUGUGGACAUGGUAAGAAAUCAACUUGUAGCAUCCUGCAUGUGCAUGUCUGUUUCUCAAUAUCAACAAAGAAAGUUAUCUUAUCACCACUAAUAGAAAACAGUGACUGGUUGGAAGGGAAAACCUGGGAGAAUAUAAUCAAAUGGACAAAUUACAUCAGUUCAAACAAGUAUCUAUGCAGCAGCCACAGUCUUGAGGUGUAUGUCACAAAUUAUAUAUCUGAGCAGGUCAUAGUUGCACAGUUUAAUGUCACAGAAAUAUAUGGAAAGGUCACAUGCAAUUGCACAAUUUAAUGUCACAGGAUUGUAUAGGAAGAUCACAUGCAGUGAGUUCAGGUCACAUAUAUAAAAGGCGCAUAAGUAUACAAACAUAUGUUAUCACAUAUGUGCAUUUCAAGUCACAUUAGUUUAUGCAGCUAUCGUAUGAGUAGUUGUGAUCAUCAAAAUUAAAACUUACUAUCAAGUUCUUUAAAUCUAUACUCAUUUUUCUGAUCUCGUUCUCGUAUUUGCUUAUCAACUUUGUAAAAGUCCCAUGCGCAUUGUCUCUAUGUUUACAAAACCAGUUUUGCGUAGUUUAUCGUAAUGACUCUAGCAAGGAUACGAUUGGAUAAUUUCUGGCUACCUUCGUGACUGCAUUGACUGAUUUCACGAUGUUCGAUGUCAUUGUUGAAUACCUAUUUUGUGGCAUAUAGAUUCGUGACCACUUUUCAGGUCCAAUCUCAACCUGCAAACAUGUAUUGCAUUGAGUAAUAUUAUAUAACUACAAUAUGUAAUCAUUCUAAUAUUUUAUGAAAAAUUACAUUGAAGUACUACAAUACCAAGUAAGUGCUAAUCUUCUAAUUCAUUGUGUCCGUCCAGUUACCUCAUAUGAUAUUUGAACUCUUCCAAUGUGUAAACUCUAACAGCUGAAUUGAAAGCUUGUGUAACGUUUUGUCCAGAUUUUCCAAAAUGUGACUUCAAGUUCUACAGCAAAUGAUACGAACAUAUACUAUGAUAGGUUCCCGGACACACAUGUUGUAUUACAUUAUUUAUACUAUUAUGCCGAUUCGAUACAAAAUAUAGCCCUUCUUUGUUCUUGUACGCCUUUUUAGGUUUUCUAAAAACCAUCUCCAAGUUUUGUCGUUCUCAUUAUUUCUAAUCCCAAAUGUAAGGACGAAUACACUAUUACUUGUAUCUUGCGUACACACUGUGAAAAGAGUACCUCCGUAGUGACCAUUCAAGUACGUACCGUCAAUCAUAAUUACAGGCUUACAAUGUUUCCAGCCGCGUAUUGAUGCACCAAGUGCCAUAAAGCAAUACCUAAAGCAAUUGUGACUAUCAACCUUCAAGUUUGUGAUCGUCCAAAGAUUCUUUUGUCGAAACAUGUAGAAAAAGCUGGUAUGUUACCAAACGAAUCAGUCGGAUGAUCUCUUAUCAUCUUCAAGGCUUGCUCGCGAGAUCUCCACGCUUUCGAAUAAUUUAAAUAAAUCUCAUAAGUAUGCAACAUAUCACUGCAUAUAUCCUUCGGUGUGUAUAUAGUACGAGACGACAUAUACUAGCGAACACAACUGUAGCUGAUAGUUGUCUGUGUGACCCCAACACUAUAUUUGAUGCACAUGUGUGACUACCAAUCUUCCGAAUGUUCAACAGUUCCGUUUUACCCCAUUUCGAUACUCUUCAUAUCCAACUUUAUCCCUCUUGUGAGCACCUCACAAUAUAUUCUUUUUUGUCUGACCGUUCCAUCAUAAACUUAAAUAUAUUCUGCAUGGCAAAAAGUGACAGGUUUAACUUUAAAAUAUCUUUAUCACAGAAGACAAUUCCUUCUUCGACCUAUCUAGCAUCUGCUACAUAAACAACUGUGAUUUCGUUGUCGUAAAUGUGACCUACAUUUGCAAUUGCUGCUUCACAGAUGUCUGAUGAUAUAUCUUGCAACUUACAUAACUCACCAGCUACAUGUGGAUUAACUGGCAGUGUGAUAGAUGGUUUAUCUACUUCUACCUCUGCAGCAUCAAUGAUUAAUGGGUAUUUAGUAGGUUCGUCCUCCAUAUCCUUUAGCAUGAUGUAAGAAAGCACAUUACUGUCAUUUCUGAUUCUAAUUGGAGGCAAAUCUUCAUUCAGUAUGUACUUCAUUGAGAUUGCUACCAUUGUAGGAUCCAAAUCGAACUCCUUUAUAACCGUGUCCACACAGUUUACAUAUCUGCAAUUUCGAUCUACCAACGCCAAAGAAGUUUGAGAUGCAUGCAACAGGCACACGUGUAGGUAUACCUUUUUUGCAAAUUAAAUUUACAUUUAUUAGUGGUCUAGUGAUGAAAGUGUAACGGUUGACACAGUUUGUGUAUGAAUUCCUAAAAUAGUAGGCAUACACGUUUUCCACAAAGUCACAAGUGAAUGCAUGGUAGAAAUAUAAAUCACAGGUUAGGCAUCAUAAUUCACAUACACGAAGCAUGUGCAUAGUCACAUAUACAGUGUGCAUUUAAUUAUACGAGUGUUUUCAUUCAGGUCACAUUUUUGGAAGUACGUCGUGUAAGAAUGAAUAUCACUGCAUAUUACAUGGGUCACAAAUCAUGUAACACAAUUAUCUCACUCAGAUUAUGCGCGGUAGUUCCAUAUACUGAGUGACUCAGGUCACAUUCUUCAAAAAGUCAAUCACGGAGAAUAUGAAUUUCAAUAUUGUUGAGACACAUUCAUCACACAUCUCAUAUGUGACCUUCAUAUUGCAUUACAUAUAAUACAUGCAUUGGUCACAUAGUCAGAUAUCAGAUUAUAUGUCGAAGCACGUACGUGUACUCUAUUUUCAGUGAUGAUCAAGAGUUUUGCGACUAAUGUUAGAUUUAUUCUGCUGCAAAUAUGAUUGUAUUACUAAAUUGAGAAUCGUGGUUUGAAAUUCAUUGAUUAUUCUUGUCUUCGGUGAUUGUAUUCGAUUUAUCGAACACAAUUCCGGAGUAUGUGACUCGACGUUUCCAUCGCGGGUGAGAUUGUGAAAUUUCUCAUCGAAAUCAGUGAUAACUGCUACCUGCUUCGUUAUCGUCAGCAGCCAGAAUAGGUUUUCACGGUGAGAACGCAGAAUGCUAGCUGAAUUUUUUAAUUUUGGGAAGUCGAUUUUGUACUAAAAUAAGUCAUGAUAUAGAAGGGAACUAGGCGUAAUUUUAGGAAACGACUAUAACUACACACACACACACACACACCUGACUUUAGAAUCUUCAAACUAUACAUCUGAUAUAUGCUACGGUGUAUACUUAGUCACCGAACUAUGAUUUUUUCCCAUAAAUUAAUUUUUUCUAUUAUUUCCUUUAGAAAACUAACCAAAAAAUUAACAUUGGCCUUGGUGGGCUGCUUGCCGCCAGGCAAACCGUGUCAAGUUUUGCAUGAGCCAGCUUAGUGAGAUCAGCCAAGAAGAUACGCUUCCUAUGUGAAUUAUGAAAUAUAUAUCAUUUAUUUUUAUUUAUUUAUAAUUUAAAUAGUAUAAAAAUAAAUUCGUAACAAAAGCACUAUGUGAAAGUCAUAUAAGUUGUUCAUUGCACACGGAAAAAAUAUUGUUGUGCCCUAUAGUUGUUGACUAACAUUUUGUAUUUUCAAAAAGAUAAGUGUCGUAAUUUGGGUUAUCAAUCUAUACCCCUGAAAUAACUUUCUAAUUUCGUGCUCAUGACAAGUCGAGACAUCAUAACUCAACUUUUAUCAACUAGUUUUUUUUUUUUUAAACAACAUUAUAUGUAUUAGAAUUUAAUAAAUAAGUGUAACACUUUAUAACGUAAAGUUAAAAGACUAUUUGGGUGUUGUGCAAGGUCAAUCCAUCAAAGCACUUCUUUAGAGUGUAGGUGGUAAAGUUUUUUAAAAUUUAUAAGUUGAUCAAGCAUAAAUUUUUUCAUGGAUUUCAAACUUUUUAGGCACACAGUCCGUGUGGAUACAAAUAUCAUUAUUAUGGAAGAGAUGUAUAAAUGAUAUGAUGGAUAAUUAAGCCCUUAUUCAAGCUUGAUCUUUAAAAUAUUAAUUUUCUCUCAAACUCAUUUGUUAUCAUACAUUCUCUCAAUGUAAUAAUUUUACAUGUAAAUUCAAUUUUUUUCUACUUUUUAACCCUACAUUCCUAUAAACUCUCUAUUAUAAAAUCCAUUUUCUCAAAAAAAAUGUGAUUCAAGCAAAUUCUAAUUAAUUUUACACCAUUUGAACGAACUUUUUGGAUGCAAACUAUUAUAGUGACGAGACGUGCUAAUUAAUAAAAUAUUGAGAUAAAGAAUAGGUGACAAAUGUUAGGGAUACAAGUUUUAUGAUAAGCAAAAAUUGAAAAAAUUAAGUAUAAUUAAAAAGUAGUUCAGAUAAAAAAAAAAAUGUUGUGCUAAUAAUUUUUUUCUAAAUUGUAAAAUAUGGGUAAUGUUUAACACAUCUAAAUAAGUGACAAUACCAAACAUACCCUUUGACUUUAGUUCAAUUAUAGCAAGAAUAAAAGGCAAAGUCACUGGUAUUAGGUAAUGGUCAAGACACAUUUAUAACUUUUUACUGCAUUAAAAACGACUUAUCACGUGACGUGAUAGCGCGUCUCAUUAACAGCCUUCCACGUGUCAAAUAAAAUUCCGAAUUAAUCUAAAUCCUGCUUGAUUGGAGAUAAUUUCCAAAAAAAUUUCUAUUUUCCAACUUUUUUUUUUUUCUGUGUUUGAUUGCAAAAGUUUUUCAUAGAAUUCAUUUUGAGAAUUGGUUUUCCACCUUUUUUUUGUGUGUGUGUUUUUUUUUAAAUUUUUGACAAUGGGAACAAAUUAUAAGAAUAAUUAUAAAAUGAGAUAUCCAUUAAAUUGAUAAUUUUCAUGUAAAACAAAGCUAAACGAAUACUAAAAUAUAGAUGAUUUUUGAAUUUUUUUUAUAAUGGACACAAAUUCUAGGAAUAAUUGUAGAAGUUGACAUCUCUAAAAUUGACAAUUUUCAUGAAAAAUAAAGUCAAACGAAUAUCAAAAUAUACUUUUAUUUUAAUAUUUUUCAGGUGAAAAAUUAUACAAAUUAUACACUAUUAAUUGACAAUUCCCAGUAAAAUAAUUUCUAGACAAUUCAAUUCUCUCGAAUUUGUUUUCUUUCCAACCAAAUUUUAUUUUUGCAAUCAAAUGGAUCCUAGUUGUUCAAACUUUGUUUGGCCAUUAAUUUCUAUUGAUUUUAAAAAUUGUUUUUGAAAUGAUUAGUUCAGAUGUUAUCAAUACAUAACAUGUAAACCAAGCACCCGUUUGGCUCUUGUUUUUUUUAAAUUUUAAUGGUUGGAAUAAUAUUUUUUGAAAAAUUUAUGAUUGAAAUAGAAUGAAAUUUUUUUGAUUUGUAUAUAAUAUUAUUUUAUGAAAAAUUGUGUAAUUAAAAAGAAGAGUGAGAAAAAGAUUGAAGAGGAGAACAUGGGCCAAAUUUAUCAGUCUAAUUUGUAUAAAUAACAUAUUCUAAAACUUUGGACCGGUCAUGUCGAUCUUAUCUACAUUUAACGUCACGUCAUCGCAGAUCCCCCAGAUCCAAUCGCACGGUACAGAUUUCAUCUUAACAUAAACCUGCUCGACUUUUAACGCUCAUUUCGUCCUUAAAUAUCUCCGCUCAGUGCUCUUAAUUAGGGAAUAACAUAGCUAAUAGGCAGUGUCAAUUGAGCUCUACAUGAGCCGAGCUCGCUAAAUUGCGCCCAUGGGGUUACUUGACCAGCUCUGGGACGACACCGUUGCCGGCCCCCAGCCGGACAGUGGCCUAGGGAAACUCAGAAAACACGCUACCUUUGGCUUCCGGCUUAACUACGGCAAGGGUACGCCUUUGUUGCCAUCUUAAGCCGGUGGUCCACCCUGAUCGUAACAUGAUACCCCUGAGAACUCGUUAAAUUCUUCUGUACAUAAUAUUGUGCAAUAAUCAUAUAUACAUUAAGAUGAAUUUGGAUAUUGUUAAGAUAAUCAUUCCAUAAGCUUUUAAUUUAGCUGGCUAUGUUCUAGAUUUUCACCGAGUAUUAAUGUUUUCCACUUAUUAACAGGAAAAUGUUUAAAGUUCGGAUCGAUUAGAUUAAUAUACUUUUGUUAUUGUCACUUCGAGAAAUAGAAUUAAGUACGUAUAAAUUGAGAAGGUAAUUAUUAUAAUGGAAAUUUAUGUAUUUGUCAAGAAUUUAAUUGUGAUUAGAAUUUAUUUUGCUUACGAAAAUUUUGGUUUAAAUUCGCGUUUACGGGAUCAGAUUCAGAAGAUGCGAAUCCAAGAUCUCUUGGAGAUGAAGCGGGUGAGGAUGAAGUGAGGGUUACAAGAAGCAUUAUGAUAUUAAAGCCUCAAGGUGUUCAGAAAGGCUCGCCGCUGGUUUCGCCGGCUACCUCCACACCUCCCGUAUCUCCUUUCGCCGGUAAGCCGGUUCCGGUUAGCUUCAUGAGUUAUCAUAUUUUUCUAUAUUUUAUUCUAAUUAUGAUGUCAAACAUUCCAGUACCUUCUUGCAAAUUUAUUGUUUAAAGUGCCCCGGGUAAUAAUGUGGUCUAGAAGUAUCUCAGGGAAUCUGAAUAGGGUAAUUUGGACAGUUUGUUUUUCGAAAACGGAAUAACGAUAAGGGUAUUUUAGUCCUUUUAGGAAGCUUGUCACAGUAAUAAUCGGUAAUAAUAGAGAUUAGAGAUGAGAUAAGUUUAGGUAUGAUGGGCCAAUUAUUUUAUUUUUUAAUUUUGUCUUGAGAGUUAAGCGUGACAUUUGUGGAAUCUACUAGGAUACAAUUGUUAAAACUUAAAAUAGAAUUAUGCCUUUGUCCACUUCCCGAAUUCGUGCGUGGCAUUGCUUAAACAGACCCAGGAAUUGUUAAAACUUAUAAUAGA
rnacentral:lncRNA from 1 species